GGGGAAUAUUGCACAAUGGGGGAAACCCUGAUGCAGCGAUGCCGCGUGAGGGAAGAAGGUUUUAGGAUUGUAAACCUCUGUCUUCAGGGACGAAAAAAGACGGUACCUGAGGAGGAAGCUCCGGCUAACUACGUGCCAGCAGCCGCGGUAAUACGUAGGGAGCGAGCGUUGUCCGGAAUUACUGGGUGUAAAGGGAGCGUAGGCGGGAUCGCAAGUCAGAUGUGAAAACUAUGGGCUUAACCCAUAAACUGCAUUUGAAACUGUGGUUCUUGAGUGAAGUAGAGGUAAGCGGAAUUCCUAGUGUAGCGGUGAAAUGCGUAGAUAUUAGGAGGAACAUCAGUGGCGAAGGCGGCUUACUGGGCUUUAACUGACGCUGAGGCUCGAAAGCGUGGGGAGCAAACAGGAUUAGAUACCCUGGUAGUCCACGCCGUAAACGAUGAUUACUAGGUGUGGGGGGACUGACCCCUUCCGUGCCGCAGCAAACGCAAUAAGUAAUCCACCUGGGGAGUACGACCGCAAGGUUGAAACUCAAAGGAAUUGACGGGGGCCCGCACAAGCAGUGGAGUAUGUGGAUUAAUUCGAAGCAACGCGAAGAACCUUACCAGGUCUUGACAUCGUAUGCAUACCUCAGAGAUGAGUGAAAUCUCUUCGGAGACAUAUAGACAGGUGGUGCAUGGUUGUCGUCAGCUCGUGUCGUGAGAUGUUGGGUUAAGUCCCGCAACGAGCGCAACCCUUACUGUUAGUUGCUACGCAAGAGCACUCUAGCAGGACUGCCGUUGACAAAACGGAGGAAGGUGGGGAUGACGUCAAAUCAUCAUGCCCCUUAUGACCUGGGCCUCACACGUACUACAAUGGCUGUCAACAGAGGGAUGCAAAGCCGCGAGGUGGAGCGAACCCCUAAAAGCAGUCUUAGUUCGGAUUGUAGGCUGCAACCCGCCUACAUGAAGUCGGAAUUGCUAGUAAUCGCAGAUCAGCAUGCUGCGGUGAAUACGUUCCCG
rnacentral:rRNA from 1 species